UGAAGGCAUCUCAUGUUUGUUGAUGGCUGGAACAAUGAGUGUAAACCUAAUGAGGGCAUCUCUUGUUUGUUGAUGACUGGAACAAUGAGUGUAAACCUAAUGAAGGCAUCUCAUGUUUGUUGAUAACUGGAACAAAAAGACUCUGGAAUGUUGUGAAGUAACUGGAAAAAAGAAAGGACUGGAGAGAAUGGGAUGUUAUUUGUAGUUUUUGAUUUAUUUUAAUGGUCAAGAGAUUUGUGAAAAUUUGUAGUUGUUCAAUUUAGGUUAAGCCUAUCUAAGACCUAUACAAUAGAUACAGUUUCCAUCCUUAUGAUUAUCUAAUGAUUGACAGUGUCUCACAAUGUAUUAAAUCAUUAAAUUACUUUUUCAAUGUAUUCAAA